rnacentral:rRNA from 1 species
UACGGAGGAUGCAAGCGUUAUCCGGAAUGAUUGGGCGUAAAGCGUCCGCAGGUGGCUAUGUAAGUCUGCUGUUAAAGAGCAAGGCUCAACCUUGUAAAGGCAGUGGAUACUACAUGGCUAGAGUGCGUUCGGGGCAGAGGGAAUUCCUGGUGUAGCGGUGAAAUGCGUAGAGAUCAGGAAGAACACCGGUGGCGAAAGCGCUCUGCUAGGCCGCAACUGACACUGAGGGACGAAAGCUAGGGGAGCGAAUGGG